AAGAGGAAGUUUCAACACCUAAUGACCAAACUGAUGAAUCACACACACCCUGAUGCUGCAGAGGAGAUGAUGAAGAGACGAUAAAAACAUAUUAUACACAUGAUGAUGAUGAUGAUGAUUGUGAUCCUUCAUCAUAUUUGUUUGCAGGUUUUUGUUGACAUCUGUCCUCAGUUUGUCUUUGUUGACACUUGUUCCUUGUUUACAACUUCUGAUACUCAACUUUUAGUCAAGUUAUCGAUGUUUUUGGGUCUUCUGAUAAAAUGUAUUUAUUUUGAAAAGAACCAGACUUUUCCCAAAAAAGUGUAGUUCACUGACCGUCAGAGGAUUUAUUCAGAGCAUGAGGUGUUCACUGACCACCUGACUCUUUAUUCAGAGCAUGAGGUGUUCACUGACCACCUGACUCUUUAUUCAGAGCAUGAGGUGUUCACUGACCACCUGACACUUUAUUCAGAGCGUGAGGUGUUCACUGACCACCUGACACUUUAUUCAGAGCGUGAGGUGUUCACUGACCGACCACCUGACUCUUUAUUCAGAGCAUGAGGUGUUCACUGACCACUUGACUCUUUAUUCAGAGCGUGAGGUGUUCACUGACCGUCUGACUCUGUAUUCAGAGUGUGAGGUGUUCACUGACCGUCUGACUCUGUAUUCAGAGUGUGAGGUGUUCACUGACCAUCUGAGGCUUUAUUCAGAGCGUGAGGUGUUCACUGACCGUCUGAGGCUGUAUUCAGAGUGUGAGGUGUUCACUGACCGUCUGAGGCUGUAUUCAGAGCGUGAGGUGUUCACUGAUCACAUGUGGUCUUCUCAUUGCCUGAGGUUGAUGUGUGUUUUUCGACCACCUUAGGCUGGAUUCAGACUUUGGGUCGUUCAAUGACUGUGUGAAAUAAAUUUUCAGCACACA